UACGGAAGGUCCGGGCGUUAUCCGGAUUUAUUGGGUUUAAAGGGAGCGUAGGCCGGAGAUUAAGCGUGUUGUGAAAUGUAGAUGCUCAACAUCUGGACUGCAGCGCGAACUGGUUUCCUUGAGUACGCACAAAGUGGGCGGAAUUCGUGGUGUAGCGGUGAAAUGCUUAGAUAUCACGAAGAACUCCGAUUGCGAAGGCAGCUCACUGGAGCGCAACUGACGCUGAAGCUCGAAAGUGCGGGUAUCGAACAGG
rnacentral:rRNA from 1 species